GAUUAUGGCUCAGGAUGAACGGCUGGCGGCGUGCCUAAUACAUGCAAGUCGAGCGAGAAUCUGAUGAUUGGAGAUCGUCAAAGUGAAUCAGAGGAAAGCGGCGGACGGGUGAGUAACGCGUAGGCAACCUGCCCUUAGCAGAGGGAUAGCCAUUGGAAACGAUGAUUAAAACCUCAUAACGCUAAGAAGACACAUGUCUUUUUAGCCAAAGAUUUAUCGGCUAAGGAUGGGCCUGCGUCUGAUUAACUAGUUGGUGAGGUAACGGCUCACCAAGGUGACGAUCAGUAGCCGACCUGAGAGGGUGAUCGGCCACAUUGGAACUGAGACACGGUCCAAACUUCUACGGAAGGCAGCAGUAAGGAAUCUUGCACAAUGGGGGAAACCCUGAAUGCAGCAACGCCGCGUGAACGAUGAAGGCCUUCGGGUUGUAAAGUUCUGAUCUUGGGGAAGAAGGAAGUGACGGUACCCAAGGAGAAAGCCCCGGCUAACUACGUGCCAGCAGCCGC
rnacentral:rRNA from 1 species